UCCAACCUCACAGUCUCCCGGCAUUUGUCUCCGUUCAUUCGCAGUCGUUAAAAGAAUUUCCGCCGCUGCGUUCACAUCCCGCCGGUAAAGUCCCCUCAACUGCACUCCAGCUGCGCCUGAUGAGGCGCUCGUUUGUUUGGUUAGCAAGAGAUUCGUAUGCUGAUGGCUGGAAUCGGGAAUCGUGCGUGUUCGAUCGGAACAGUCUGACGUCGUAUCGGUUUCGUGUGAAUCUCAACUGCGAAGAUCCAGAAUCUAUUUAUUGGAGAAGAAGAAACAGUGGACAAUAAUGGAGUUGUGUCUCUUUGCGAGUUUGGGAGCGAUAGUCUGUGAUCGCUAGGUGGACGACGCUUCGACUCGGUUAAACCAGCAGGAAAAGUUUGGUUUAGUCUGGUCUGUAUUCAGUGACAAGACUGUGGUCAUGUUUAUGUUAUGGAGUUCGGCUGCAGGAGUGGUGAAUUAGUAAAAGCUUACUUGAAGGAAUGAUGUUCAUUCAAGCACCGCUGUUGAUGACCAUUGGUAAUGAGCAAUUUAAUGGGGUUAAAAAGAAGUCAAUGCCAUAGGAGAUGUCAGGACUCACGACUUUCCACAACAAUGGUACGAUAUUGUCCACUUUGAGCAUAAGUUCUCCUGGCUUUGAGCAUAAGUUCUCCUGGCUUUGCUUUUAGUUUCUCCAAAAGACCUCAUAUCAAUGAAAAUGUAUUCCUUACCUAUAAACCCAUUAUCAACUCUUUGAUUAG